AAAUUGGAGAAAACACAGCUAAUUUAAAAGGAUGAAUUGAAAAUACUUCUGUAUUUAUGUUAGCCUGGUGAAGAUGUUUUUAUGGCGAGAAAUGCUAUUUACAGGUACCAUGAAGAGAAUUGUGACAUUGGAUUUGGGGAAUUUAAGUUUGGCCCUCUUUUCAUGAGGUUAUGCGAUGAGCUGGGUUUAGAGGAGCUGGGAGCCAGAACCUGGCUGAUCCAGUAUGUGAAAAUGAACAUAGAUUUUACACCAUGA